rnacentral:rRNA from 1 species
CCUACGGGUGGCAGCAGUGAGGAAUAUUGGUCAAUGGGCGGAAGCCUGAACCAGCCAAGUCGCGUGAGGGAAUAAGGCCCUACGGGUCGUAAACCUCUUUUGCCGGGGAGCAAGGGCGGGGACGUGUCCCGGCCCGGAGAGUACCCGGAGAAAAAGCAUCGGCUAACUCCGUGCCAGCAGCCGCGGUAAAACGUAGGGGGCGAGCGUUGUCCGGAAUGACUGGGCGUAAAGGGUGCGUAGGCGGCAUAAUAAGUUAGAAGUGAAAUACCCAGAGCUUAACUCGGGUGCUGCUUCUAAGACUGUUGAGCUUGAGUGCGGGAGAGGUUAAUGGAAUUCCUAGUGUAGCGGUGGAAUGCGUAGAUAUUAGGAGGAACACCAGAGGCGAAGGCGAUUAACUGGACCGUAACUGACGCUGAGGCACGAAAGUGUGGGUAGCAAACAGGAUUAGAUACCCUAGUAGUC